GGAAUCUUGGACAAUGGGGGCAACCCUGAUCCAGCGACGCCGCGUGGGUGAUGAAGGCCUUCGGGUUGUAAAGUUCUUUCGCCCGUGACGAUGAUGACGGUAACGGGAGAAGAAGCCCCGGCUAACUUCGUGCCCGCAGCCGCGGUAAUACGAAGGGGGCUAGCGUUGUUCGGAAUUACUGGGCGUAAAGCGCGCGUAGGCGGCUUUGCAAGCCAGGGGUGAAAUGCCUGAGCUCAACUUGGGAAUUGCCUUUGGGACUGUGAGGCUUUGAGGACUGGAGAGGUGAGUGGAAUUCCCAGUGUAGAGGUGAAAUUCGUAGAUAUUGGGAAGAACACCGGUGGCGAAGGCGGCUCACUGGCCAGUUUCUGACGCUGCAGCGCGAAAGCGUGGGGAUCAAA
rnacentral:rRNA from 1 species